rnacentral:tRNA from 1 species
AACUUGGUAGCCUAGUUGGUAACAGCAGCACUUCUAGCAUUGGCUGAGGUCGCUGGUUUGAAUCCUGCCCAAGUUG